CACACUAUCAUUAACUGAAUCCAUAGGUUAAUGAGGCGAACCGGGGGAACUGAAACAUCUAAGUACCCCGAGGAAAAGAAAUCAACCGAGAUUCCCCCAGUAGCGGCGAGCGAACGGGGAGCAGCCCAGAGCCUGAAUCAGUGUGUGUGUUAGUGGAAGCGUCUGGAAAGGCGCGCGAUACAGGGUGACAGCCCCGUACACAAAAAUGCACAUGCUGUGAGCUCGAUGAGUAGGGCGGGACACGUGGUAUCCUGUCUGAAUAUGGGGGGACCAUCCUCCAAGGCUAAAUACUCCUGACUGACCGAUAGUGAACCAGUACCGUGAGGGAAAGGCGAAAAGAACCCCGGCGAGGGGAGUGAAAAAGAACCUGAAACCGUGUACGUACAAGCAGUGGGAGCACAGAGCAAUCUGUGUGACUGCGUACCUUUUGUAUAAUGGGUCAGCGACUUAUAUUCUGUAGCAAGGUUAACCGAAUAGGGGAGCCGAAGGGAAACCGAGUCUUAACUGGGCGUUAAGUUGCAGGGUAUAGACCCGAAACCCGGUGAUCUAGCCAUGGGCAGGUUGAAGGUUGGGUAACACUAACUGGAGGACCGAACCGACUAAUGUUGAAAAAUUAGCGGAUGACUUGUGGCUGGGGGUGAAAGGCCAAUCAAACCGGGAGAUAGCUGGUUCUCCCCGAAAGCUAUUUAGGUAGCGCCUCGUGAAUUCAUCUCCGGGGGUAGAGCACUGUUUCGGCAAGGGGGUCAUCCCGACUUACCAACCCGAUGCAAACUACGAAUACCGGAGAAUGUUAUCACGGGAGACACACGGCGGGUGCUAACGUCCGUCGUGAAGAGGGAAACAACCCAGACCGCCAGCUAAGGUCCCAAAGUCAUGGUUAAGUGGGAAACGAUGUGGGAAGGCCCAGACAGCCAGGAUGUUGGCUUAGAAGCAGCCAUCAUUUAAAGAAAGCGUAAUAGCUCACUGGUCGAGUCGGCCUGCGCGGAAGAUGUAACGGGGCUAAACCAUGCACCGAAGCUGCGGCAGCGACGCUGAUGCGUUGUUGGGUAGGGGAGCGUUCUGUAAGCCUGCGAAGGUGUGCUGUGAGGCAUGCUGGAGGUAUCAGAAGUGCGAAUGCUGACAUAAGUAACGAUAAAGCGGGUGAAAAGCCCGCUCGCCGGAAGACCAAGGGUUCCUGUCCAACGUUAAUCGGGGCAGGGUGAGUCGACCCCUAAGGCGAGGCCGAAAGGCGUAGUCGAUGGGAAACAGGUUAAUAUUCCUGUACUUGGUGUUACUGCGAAGGGGGGACGGAGAAGGCUAUGUUGGCCGGGCGACGGUUGUCCCGGUUUAAGCGUGUAGGCUGGUUUUCCAGGCAAAUCCGGAAAAUCAAGGCUGAGGCGUGAUGACGAGGCACUACGGUGCUGAAGCAACAAAUGCCCUGCUUCCAGGAAAAGCCUCUAAGCAUCAGGUAACAUCAAAUCGUACCCCAAACCGACACAGGUGGUCAGGUAGAGAAUACCAAGGCGCUUGAGAGAACUCGGGUGAAGGAACUAGGCAAAAUGGUGCCGUAACUUCGGGAGAAGGCACGCUGAUAUGUAGGUGAAGUCCCUCGCGGAUGGAGCUGAAAUCAGUCGAAGAUACCAGCUGGCUGCAACUGUUUAUUAAAAACACAGCACUGUGCAAACACGAAAGUGGACGUAUACGGUGUGACGCCUGCCCGGUGCCGGAAGGUUAAUUGAUGGGGU
rnacentral:rRNA from 1 species